rnacentral:lncRNA from 1 species
AAAUUUAGACUGGUUGUGCGCUCCAGGCUCUAUGGCUGAGGGCAGCCGUGUUUCUCACCCAGUUCGAAACCUCUCGUGGGUAGGGGGGUAUUGUAACGAAGCAUUUCGGACCAACGAGCCUUGUAGCGACAUCUUGUGGUUUCUGGAGAUAUAAUGUUGUUUCACAGAACACAGAUGGCGCUGCAGGGUUAUCGAUGGGCCCGAAUAUUUUUGAUUAUUUUAUUUUCUUCAAAAUUUGGUAUAUUUAAUUAUCUGCAACAUUUAUUGAAAUUAUAUUAUAUUUUAUUUAGGUUUCGGAUCAAACAAGUCGAUCGAUUAUUGUCGUUGAUUCGGCGAAUUUAUGGUUUGGUAGAUUUUUUCUAGUUUGGCAACUUUGUUCGUGGUUCUUGUGUCAGACUGACAGCUGGCUGAGCUGAGAGACAGGUUAUGGAAAGUGGGGACGUCGCGAGAGCGCCGGAGACUCCACUGCCGUAACAAUAAUGUGGGCAAAUUAAAAGCCACGAUUUAUCGGCGACAUCAAGAGCCGAUGUCUCCAUUUAUAUAAAUAACUUAACUGAGAUGCAACAUCACUGAAAUCCCAUCGCCUAAGGUCCAGUGGGUGGGUUUAGGUUUCAUCCGAGCGAUGCCCAACUAUCCCGGAUGAACCUGUAAGUUAUUUUCUUUGUUUUACACUCGUGAGUUGCAUUGCCACGCUGUCAGCUGAACCACAUGCUAAUCAUUGCCAUUCCUUGUUGCAGAUGGGUUUUUUGUUUCCUUUAAGUUUUUAACGUUUUAAAGUUUCGAACGUUUUGCAAGUUUUAAUCUAAGAAGAAGUUUAUGAUUGGAUCAGACUAUUUCAACAAAUUUGGUGAAUGAAGAUUCCUACUGUUUUCUUCUGCAUUUGAGAGUUAUUUCAAGCUUCAUUUCGGCGGAGCUUGCCUUGGUUGUUUGCACGUCGAAGCUUUCCUUUGUGCGGCGCGCAUGUGGAUGUGCCGCGCCUCUCCUUUUGUCAACACACCGGAUAAGGCCCGGUGAAGGACUGCGAGGUUGACCGGUGGACGUGCAGCCCGCCAGCUGCGUAACAGUUGGCCCGCUGCGCCGCCAUCGUCCAGCACGCCCUGGCCUGAGCCGGCCUCAACUCAUCACCUGUACGGUAUUCCGGGACGCCUCAGGUAGGCCUGAUAGUCAGAGGUCCUCGAGUAAGUGAGGUGCCUACAGGUGUACGGACAGUGUUUUUAAACAUAGUGAUAUCCCAUGGUUGUUACGGAGUGACAAUUAACCUGACGGACCAAAGCGCGACCUGUCUCCCUCCAUAGGGUUUUUGACCUACCUAUGGUUAAUGAAAUUUGUAGAUUUAAAAAAUAUACAUUGUACAAAUUCAA